rnacentral:rRNA from 1 species
AUUGAACGCUGGCGGCAGGCCUAACACAUGCAAGUCGAGCGGAUGAAGGGAGCUUUCUCCUGGUUUCAGCGGCGGACGGGUGUGUAAUGCCUAUGAAUCUGCCUGGUAGUGGGUUAUAACGUCCGGAAACGGGCGCUAAUACCGCAUACUUCCUGAGGGUGCAAGUUGGUGUUCUUCUGACCUCACGCUAUCAUAUGAGCCUAGGUCGGAUUUGAUAGUUGGUGGGGUAAAGGCCUACCAAGGCGACGAUUCGUAACUGGUCUGAGAGGAUGAUAAGUCACAGUGGAACGGAGACACGGACAAGACUACUACGGGAGGCAGCAGUGGGGAAUAUUGGACAAUGGGGGAAAGCAUGAUCCAGCGAUGCCGCGUGUGAGAAGAAGGUCUUCGGAUUGUAAAGCACUUUAAGUUGGGAGGAAGGGCAGUAAGUUAAUACCUUGCUGUAUUGACGUUAACAACAGAAGAAGCACCGGCUAACUACGUG